rnacentral:sRNA from 1 species
GAACACUGGACUGGUCUUGGUCGUAGUAGGAAGGCGCAUGGGCAGGGUGGCGUAGCCACCCGGCGAAAGCACCCAUGCGCGGUAAGCAGGCUCCUGACGGGGCCUUUUUUUAUGCCCGAG